UACGAAGGGGGCUAGCGUUGCUCGGAAUCACUGGGCGUAAAGGGUGCGUAGGCGGGUCUUUAAGUCCGGGGUGAAAUCCCGAGGCUCAACCUCGGAACUGCCUUUGAUACUGAAGAUCUUGAGUCCGGGAGAGGUGAGUGGAACUGCGAGUGUAGAGGUGAAAUUCGUAGAUAUUCGCAAGAACACCAGUGGCGAAGGCGGCUCACUGGCCCGGUACUGACGCUGAGGCACGAAAGCGUGGGGAGCAAACAGG
rnacentral:rRNA from 1 species